AUUGAACGCUGGCGGCAGGCCUAACACAUGCAAGUCGAACGAGUGGCGGACGGGUGAGUAAUGGCUGGGACACUGCCUGAUGGAGGGGGAUAACUACUGGAAACGGUAGCUAAUACCGCAUAGCAUCGGAUGUUCCCAGAGGGGCUUAGCUAGUAGGUGGGGUAAACGAUCACCUAGGCGAAGAUCCCUAGCUGGUCUGAGAGGAUGACCAGUCAAACUGGAACUGAGACACGGUCCAGACUGCUACGGGAGGCAGCAGUGGGGAAUAGUGCACAAUGAGCGCAAGCCUGAUGCAGCCAUGCCGCGUGUAUGAAGAAGGCCUUCGGGUUGUAAAGUACUUUCAGCGGGGAGGCGUUACCCGCAGAAGAAGCACCGGCUAACUCCGUGCCAGCAGCCGCGGUAAUAC
rnacentral:rRNA from 1 species